AGGGACAUUAGAUUUCUUUUCUUCUUUUUUAAUAAUGUUAAACAUUAAAUAAAUAAUGCAUUUGUAAUGUAUAGUUAUACAUUGCAUUUUACAUCAUAACUUAGUAAUUAAUUAUAUUAACUGUAAUAAUAUAAAAUUAAGACGUAGUAUGGGCAUUCAAAUGUUAAGAAUAUAAGUCAAAAUCAAAGACAAGUAUAUAACCUGUUUGAUGAUGAAUAGUUUAAAAAGUUGUAUAUAUAAAACUAGCUGAGUAUUUCAAAAUAGGGGGGAAGAGGGUUUGAGAGCAUGUGGGCUAUUUUACAGUCUAAACUUAAGUUCACAGUUUUCAAAUUAUACCAAUUUGAUGCUGCUGUUUAUUUGAUUUUUAAAUAAUUUAAAAGUUGAUUAUCAACUAAUUCUUAUUCUUAACACAAAUAAAUUAAAUCAUUUAUUGUGAAUAUUAUUAGCAGUACUGUAACAUAUCUAAUAAGAUACAGUAUCUACUAUCUAGGUACUUUUUUUGUAUCUUGUAUCUGUAUCUAGAUAAUUUGUAUUAUCUGUAUCUGUAUCAUAGGUAUACAAUAUUGUGUAUCUUGAUAAAAGUAUCUAAGGUACUUGUUAAUAUACAAUUCUUACUUUUUUGGUUCAACAAAAUAUAAAAAUAAAACUAACAACUUUAAAAUUUAAUUUUUUUUAAAUAAAAAUGUCAACAAUUUAUUGUUGAUAUGUAUUAUUUUCUCAUUUCUUUAUUACUAUAAAUAAUUAUGUGUACUAGUAUUUAUUAUAUUAUUUAUUUUAUAUUUUAAAACUGAUAUAAAAAUGUAGAUAAAAAUAUUGAGCUAUAAAUUGUGUACCCAUUACUUAUUUUAUUAUAAUUUUGUAAUUCUAAAUUUUUAAUGAAUUAAAUAUUUAUGAAAACAAUUAUCUGUUUUUUAAAAUGUAUCUUAAUAUAA